GACGAACGCUGGCGGCAUGCCUAAUACAUGCAAGUCGAGCGAACAGAUGAAGUGCUUGCACUUCUGACGUUAGCGGCGAACGGGUGAGUAACACGUAAGGAAUCUACCUAUAAGCGGGGGAUAACAUUCGGAAACGGGUGCUAAUACCGCAUAAUAUCUUCUUCCGCAUGGAAGAAGAUUGAAAGAUGGCUCUGCUGUCACUUAUAGAUGACCUUGCGGUGCAUUAGUUAGUUGGUGGGGUAACGGCCUACCAAGACGAUGAUGCAUAGCCGACCUGAGAGGGUGAGCGGCCACAUUGGGACUGAGACACGGCCCAAACUCCUACGGGAGGCAGCAGUAGGGAAUCUUCCGCAAUGGGCGAAAGCCUGACGGAGCAAUGCCGCGUGAGUGAAGAAGGCCUUCGGGUCGUAAAACUCUGUUAUAAGAGAAGAACAAAUUGUAGAGUAACUGCUACAGUCUUGACGGUAUCUUAUCAGAAAGCCACGGCUAACUACGUGCCAGCCGCCGUAAAAC
rnacentral:rRNA from 1 species